rnacentral:rRNA from 1 species
UACGUAGGGGGCAAGCGUUGUCCGGAUUUAUUGGGCGUAAAGAGCGUGUAGGCGGCCAGGUAGGUCAGCUGUGAAAACUCGAGCUCAACCUCGAGACGCCGGUGGAAACCAUCUAGCUAGAGUCCGGAAGAGGAGAGUGGAAUUCCUGGUGUAGCGGUGAAAUGCGCAGAUAUCAGGAAGAACACCCGUGGCGAAGGCGGCUCUCUGGGACGUGACUGACGCUGAGACGCGAAAGCGUGGGGAGCGAACAGG